rnacentral:rRNA from 1 species
UACGAAGGGGGCUAGCGUUGCUCGGAAUCACUGGGCGUAAAGGGUGCGUAGGCGGCUUUGUAAGUUAGAGGUGAAAGCCCGGGGCUCAACCCCGGAAUUGCCUUUAAGACUGCAUCGCUUGAAUCCGGGAGAGGUGAGUGGAAUUCCGAGUGUAGAGGUGAAAUUCGUAGAUAUUCGGAGGAACACCAGUGGCGAAGGCGGCUCACUGGCUCGACACUGACGCUGAGGUGCGAAAGCGUGGGGAGCAAACAGG